UCCUGAGCCCCAGACGCUUCAGCUGACUUUUUCACAAUUCCCCACCCUUUUUACUUUUCAUCCAGAGAUCUCAAAGCUCUAAACAAGCCUUGAUCCUCCCUGACCCCCUGAGUCAUCUUCUGCUUCCAUUUUCCCAGAUGGGGGUGGCAGUGGGAUACUACGUUUGGGGAUAGGUACUUGGUAGGUGGGGGGACAGUGGUGGGGAUCUAGGUGCCCCUUCCCAGUCAUAGGGUGGGGCUAAGAGCAGGCAUCAAGGUGGUUCUAUGCACUUUGGUUUCAGCUUGUCCUUUUGAGGUUGUUUUAUGACUGAAGAGACUCGGAUAAAGAGUCCGAGCUGGAGAAAUUGAAGAACAAACAAAGCCGUAAAAGACGCCGAUAAAAUUCCUCCCAGCUCAGAAUAGUCGUUGGCUCCUCUCUCAAGAAUCUCAGGGUAAUCUGGGAAGGCUAAUUAAGUCUCACAGCCUCCAGUGGGGACUCGGGCUGGACCAGAGCAGAAUGAAGGAUCCCCAGAUUUUUGGCAUGUACAGGAAGUGACAGAAGCACCGCUGGAGGAUGGGGGAUGAAUAAUUUUCAUUGCAGGUGAGUGUGAGUAAAAGCGACCUAAGUAGCACUUCUAGACUAGACUCAAACUGUGUGAAUAUUUUCGUGGAGGAGAAAG
rnacentral:lncRNA from 12 species